ensembl:misc_RNA Metazoa_SRP Metazoan signal recognition particle RNA
GCCGGGCGUGGUGGCUCACGCCUGUAAUCCCAGCACUUUGGGAGGCUGAGGUGGGUGGAUCACUUGAGGUCGGGAGUUCAAGACCAGCCUGACCAAUAUGGUGAAACUCUAUCUCUA